rnacentral:rRNA from 1 species
AUUGAACGCUGGCGGCAGGCCUAACACAUGCAAGUCGAGCGAGCGGCGGACGGGUGAGUAAUGUCUGGGAAACUGCCUGAUGGCGGGGGAUAACUACUGGAAACGGUAGCUAAUACCGCAUACCAUCAGAUGUUCCCAGAUUGGAUUAGCUAGUAGGUGGGGUAAAGGCUCACCUAGGCGAAGAUCCCUAGCUGGUCUGAGAGGAUGACCAGCAACACGGGAACUGAGGCACGGUCAAGACUCCUACGGGAGGCAGCAGGGGGGAAGAUUGCAAAAUGGGAGAAAGCCUGAUGCAGCCAUGCCGCGUGUAUGAAGAAGGCCUUCGGGUUGUAAAGUACUUUCAGCGGGGAGGCGGUACCCGCAGAAGAAGCACCGGCUAACUCCGUGCCAGCAGCCGCGGUAAUAC